GAAGAAAUAAUUGUAUGCUCGACCUUUUCUGGAGGAAAUCUUUGGCAGUUGCUAGAAGGUCCCGUUCCUGCAAACACAUUGAAAUCAUUGGGGCUACUUGUGGUAGGAGAGCGAAACACACGCAUUAGGAAUUUAAAAAGAAGGAGACGAA